rnacentral:rRNA from 1 species
UACGGAGGUGGCGAGCGUUACUCGGAUUCAUUGGGUGUAAAGGGCAGUUAGGCGGACCGAAAAGUCUUAUCUGAAAUCCUUAGGCUUAACCUAAGAACGGGAUAAGAAACUUUCGGUCUUGAGGCUGGAAGAGGAAGAUGGAAUUCCCGGUGUAAGGGUGAAAUCUGUAGAUAUCGGGAGGAACACCAGUGGCGAAGGGGAUCUUCUGGUCCAGACCUGACGAUGAGCUGCGAAAGCUAGGGGAGCAAACAGG